rnacentral:rRNA from 1 species
UACGAACCGUCCAAACGUUACUCGGAAUCACUGGGCUUAAAGGGUGCGUAGGCCGCGCGGAGGGUGGGAUGUGAAAUCCCCCGGCUCAACCGGGGAAUAGCGUCCCAAACCGCCGUGCUCGAGGGAGACAGAGGUGAGCGGAACUGAUGGUGGAGCGGUGAAAUGCGUUGAUAUCAUCAGGAACACCAGUGGCGAAAAGCGGCUCACUGGGUCUUUCCUAACGCUGAGGCACGAAAGCUAGGGGAGCGAACGGG